AACUUCAGUAGGACUUUAUUUUCAGUGUGCUUACUGUUUGUACAAAAUACAUGUCACCAGAUCAAGAUAUUACAAACAUAUAAACUGCAGCAUAAUUUCUGCAAAUUUAGUAGGAAUACAUUAUUUGACAUAGGUUUAAAGAUCGAAUGGCUAAACUCCAGAUGGGCUUCUAAAUUAAAGGAAUAAUGGUGGAAGCUUCAAAGCAGAAUAGUCUGCAUGCUUUGUCAAUAUAAUUUAUUGCAAGUGGUGUAUCUGACAUUUAUACGAGUCCAAGUGUAUAACAGCUCGUCUUUUCUCUAGACGAUAUUAUUAUUUUUUCAAGUGAUAUUAUACAACCAUAACGUAUGUACAAAUCAUCUUUUUCCACAAGAGUGACUGCCCUGCAAAACUAACAAACAUGAUCUCAGAGCUAGCAUAAAUCCUAUGUCAACACCUAGAGUUAUUGGGAACCGGUAACAUAAACCAAUUCUCACAUUAGCAGUUAUGAGAUGGUAAUGCAUUAGAUAAAUAAAAAUACACGUUCAUUCAAAUCCACAGUUUGAAUAAGCAUAAACUCCAGAUACCAUAAGGAUUCUCCUUUGGCCUUUCUAAGUUGAAAAGCUAACUUUCCAGUAAAAUAGCCACUUGUGUGGUCUUUGCUUCAUCAAAAGCUUAAGACCAAUGACCUGUUACGAUUGAAAGGCUGUUAAAACUUAUAAGUAAAAUUUGGUGCAUAAUUUGCAAAAAGAACAAGGACACCCCUUCCCAUUUGUUUCACAAUAUUCUUUUGCAAGAAGAUAGUCACAAAGAAGGAUUAACGCAAAGAUAUUGUGGCUAUUUGAUGAAUAUUAUCUGCUUCCACAUCCAGAAAGAACCCAUGUCAAAAGAGGAAUUGAUUGCCUCCAUCAGGGUAUUAUUGAUUCACAACAAUUUUUGCAUUCAAAGAAACGUAGAACCUUGGAAGUACUAUACCUAGUUUUGUGGUCACUCCAUGAGUAUCUCCUCCCUUAUCAAGAUCUGAUGUGCAUAGGAGUCUCCUGCUCCUACCCUACCAAAAGAUCAGCAGCUUGGUUGGUCGAUCUCCUCACAAAUAUCUAACAUCAAUCUGCCCAAUACAAUCUCAAGACUCUCCCUACCAUUGACUUUCUCCAUUCUUAUGAUUAUUGCUAACUCAUCUUUUAAAGCAUUAAUAUUGGGGUCUGGACUCUCUUCAAAAGCCUAAGAGAUAGUUUGGUACGAAGAAUCAGGAUAAUAAUUCUGGGAUAGAAUUUGAGAUUGUAUUUAUCUUAUGUUUAGUUAUAGGUAUUAGCUAAUCCCGAUAUAAAUUUUACUUUAAAAUGGUGAGAUUAGCUAUCUCAUAUAGAAGGUUGGAUAACCAAUCCUAUGGGAUAUCCUUGUCUAACUCACUAUUGUACCAAACGAACCCUAAAUGUCUUGAGUAUAUGCCUCCCUUUCUUUUUGUUUGUUGGAAAAAAGAAAAAGGUGCACAAUGCGUUUCUACAUUUCACAAAAAAAAAAAAUAAUAAAUACUCUAAU
rnacentral:lncRNA from 1 species